rnacentral:rRNA from 1 species
AGGACGAACGCUGGCGGCGUGCUUAACACAUGCAAGUCGAGCGGAAAGGCCACUUCGGUGGUACUCGAGCGGCGAACGGGUGAGUAACACGUGAGUAAUCUGCCCUUGGCUUUGGGAUAGCCACCGGAAACGGUGAUUAAUACCGGAUAUGACUGCUCCUCGCAUGAGGUGUGGUGGAAAGUUUUUCGGCCAGGGAUGUGCUCGCGGCCUAUCAGCUUGAUGGUGAGGUAAUGGCUCACCAUGGCUUCGACGGGUAGCCGGCCUGAGAGGGUGACCGGUCACACUGGGACUGAGACACGGCCCAGACUCUACGGGAGCAGCAGUGGGAAUAUGGACAAUGGGCGAAGCCUGAUCCAGCAACGCCGCGUGAGGAUGACGGCCUGGUG